rnacentral:rRNA from 1 species
UUUUGAUGUUAAUUUUCUGGCCUGAGUAGUAUUAGUUAUUUUCUUGAAACUUAAAGAAUUUGGCGGUAUCUCAAUCUGUUCAGAGGAAUCUGUCCCGUUAUCGAUAAUCCGCGUUGGACCUUACUUGGUUCUUUUGUUUGUAUACCGCCGUUAUAAUGAGGAUCUUUUUAGGGGUUUUUAAUUCUUACUUUUCUUUAUUUUGGUAUAUUUCAGGUCAAGGUGCAGCUUUAUAGCUUAGUUGGAGGUGGAUUACUUUUAUAUUUGUCUUUGAAUUUUUACUGAAAUUGUUUUUAUGAAAUUGGAUUUGAUUGUAAUUUAUUGUAGAUUGUUUUAAUGAUCUUAGUUCUGGGAUAUGU